rnacentral:rRNA from 1 species
GACAGAGGGUGCAAACGUUGUUCGGAUUUACUGGGCGUAAAGCGCGUGUAGGCGGCUUGGCAAGUCGGAUGUGAAAGCCCACGACUCAACCGUGGAAGCGCAUCCGAAACUGCUUCGCUCGAGUCUCGGAGAGGAAGGUGGAAUGCUUGGUGUAGAGGUGAAAUUCGUAGAUAUCAAGCAGAACACCUGCGGCGAAGGCGGCCUUCUGGACGAUGACUGACGCUGAGACGCGAAAGCGUGGGGAGCAAACAGG